UACAGAGGGGGCAAGCGUUGUUCGGAAUUACUGGGCGUAAAGGGCGCGUAGGCGGCCUGUUAAGUCGAACGUGAAAUCCCCGGGCUCAACCCGGGAACUGCGUCCGAUACUGGCAGGCUUGAAUCCGGGAGAGGGAUGUGGAAUUCCAGGUGUAGCGGUGAAAUGCGUAGAGAUGUGGAGGAACACCAGUGGCGAAGGCGACUUUCUGGGCUGUAACUGACGCUGAGGCGCGAAAGCGUGGGGAGCAAACAGG
rnacentral:rRNA from 1 species